CAACAAGUCCUUAACUUGACAUCUAAAGAAAAAGCAAUAUUAAAAUCCUUCUUAAUCAGGAUGCCUAGGCCAACCAUAGACAGAAACUCAGCCCACCUCUACCCAAGAGAGAGAGCUGUCUCACUUGACUGGAUCGAUGGCAAAAACGUCAGGCUCCUCAGAGUGGCCAACCACAGAGAGUCUUUCAGGUUCAAAAAGCUGAGCCAGGCCCUCAGCACGAUUGAGAACAUCCAUAAAGCCUGCUGGCUCCGUGAGGAGAAGAAGGUCAGACAGAGUCUCAGGAAGCUGGUCAGCGUGUCUCCAUCCUACUCCAGCCGGACACUCUUCAAGAGGAACAGCGAUGCCUGCUCCAAAGUGUCCAUGCGCCUGGAGAGUGGACUAGUACUGCCCCCCUGUGUGCCAGUGCGGGUGGGAGGGGAAGAGGUCCGGAGUCAGCAGAGCGCCGGCACCAAAGGCCUGCUCCCUAGCAUCACCAGCUGUCCUCCCUCCUCCCUCACUCCAGCUCCUCGUGGCACCCCGCUCUCCAGCGCGCCCUUGACCUCCUGGAGCCCAUCUUACGCCAGAGGCAUCAGUAGGGGCACCGGGGGUGGGUGCUCCUCUUCCAAGAGCGUCGCCUUCCCCAGCAGCCAGACAUCGGGCUCAGGCAGCGCGGAGGUGGGCCCCCCCCCCACCCCUCUGCUCCCCACGCCCAGCCUGCUGGCCCUGCUGCCACCCCACCUGUCCCCGGAGCUCCACGGCCUGCAGGAGGCCGUGCUGGGCUUCCCCCUGCUGCAGAAGCGCGUCCGCGAGCUGAUGGCCCGCACCAGAGCCAUCGAGCAGGAGAGGCAGGAGAGGCGCAGUAUCACGCUUAAGCCUAUAGAGGCGCUGCGGUGCAGGUAUCUGCGUCUGUCUGAGAGCAACAUCAGCACUCUGCUCCAGCUGUGCAAGGAGUCCGGGAUAGAUGUGGACAUCCAUCCCCACAUGAAGGAUUCGGACAUCGACAUCUCCACCCUGUUCAAGGGCUCGUCGUCUCCUUCGUCCAGCACAGAGCUGAUGUGAUCGAUCCAUCUCUCUCACUCACUCACUCACUCACUCACACACACACACACACACAGCGCAGCUACACACCCACGCAAACCAAAGACAUCAAUCAAAACACAAGUUCUACAUACACAUGCUUUGCUUAUACACA
ensembl:lncRNA